GACGUAGGGCGCGAGCGUUGUCCGGAUUUAUUGGGCGUAAAGAGCUCGUAGGCGGCUCGUUGCGUCGGCUGUGAAAACCCGCAGCUCAACUGUGGGCUUGCAGCCGAUACGGGCGGGCUUGAGUUCGGUAGGGGAGACUGGAAUUCCUGGUGUAGCGGUGAAAUGCGCAGAUAUCAGGAGGAACACCGGUGGCGAAGGCGGGUCUCUGGGCCGAAACUGACGCUGAGGAGCGAAAGCGUGGGGAGCAAACAGG
rnacentral:rRNA from 1 species